GAACAUGUUCUACGUUUUAGUUGAAGAAAGACCUUUAACUUAUAAACUUAAUAAUAACAUAAAAAACUUUUAUAAUCAUAAAAAUAAUUCAGAUGUUCCUUCAACUUCUCCAACUUUUAGAUAACAAAAAAUCCAAAGCCCUUUCAAAAACCAAAACCCCUUUGCCUCCAUUCAAAACCUAAAUCCGCUUUGCAGAAGAAACCGUCGCUCAUCUAACCGCCGUCGUCCCCAACGACUGUCGACGCCAUCUAACCGCUGUCAUCCCCAUCGACUGUCGUCAUCCCCAUCGCUGCAAUCCGUCAUCCCCACCAAGCUACGCUCUAAUCCGCUGUUGUGUCGGCAUUCCUCUUUAGGUUGUCAUCUCCACCAAGCUCCGCUCCAAUCCGCCGUCCCCAUCCCCUCCCUCAGUACCAACGCCGGCCCCCUUCCCCUCUCUCAGCACCAACGACUGAUUAGGAAUGGUAUCCAGCUCGGAACCCGGAUCCGGGUCUGCUAAGCGUGGUAGAGGUAAACGCGGUCCUGCUAAGUGCAAGAACCUAAAACCGGAGGACAUGUACAUUGAGGUGAAUCAAAAUAAUCUACCGAUAGGUAAAAAAGGAAGAAGUUUUGAUUCUUGGCUUGGACUGGCAGCGAGAUCAACUUUUCCAGAAUAUUGGAUCUCGUCAAAGGACUUCGAUAAGCAAAAAUGGAAAGACUUUUGGUUGUAUGUUCAGAAAGAGUGGCAUCUUGAUGACAGUCUCGAGGAAAUUACCGUUACAAGAGCUAAAAAUAUGCGUACGGGUUAUAUCAGUAAGGAUCUUUGGAGGAAAUUCCAAAGGACAGGGGAAAAUCCUUGUCUCGAUAAAACUUUUUUUAAUCCAAAGAUGUGGGACACUUUCGUUGAAAUGAAGAAUACGGAGGAAGCUAAAGUAUGUGUUACUUAUUCUAUGUUAUUAUUAUUAUUAUUAUUAUUAUUAUUAUUAUUAUUAUUGUCGUAAAAGUACGACAGGUAUAUAUUUUAGAUUCACUAUUCAAAAAGGGCAACAAGAAUCCUAGCCGCUAUCUUCUUACAAGUGUGAUUGAAAGCGCCUUGCUGCCAAUAAAGCCCACAUUUGAUAUGGUUAAUUGCAAUCAACAAGCUGAGACAUGGGAAUGCGGCUAUAUACUUCUUCAAUCUAUGUUCGACUUUGUCAAUGUGUAUCAAAAGCAAUUUCCCAGAAUGUGGAACGACACUAAAGUGGCUACAGAUGAAGAUAUAGAAAAGACGUUGAAGGAAUUGAUGCCAAUUUUAUUUGAUGGGUUGAGCAUUCCUUAGUUUAAAUAUAGUUUGUUCGGGUUGAAUGUGUAUUGGGUCACUUUUUACUUGUCCAGAUUUGACUACGUUGAAUAUAUAAAAGGAUUGAUUGGAUUUGACGUC